AGUGAACGCUGGCGGUAGGCCUAACACAUGCAAGUCGAACGGCAGCACAGUAAGAGCUUGCUCUUACGGGUGGCGAGUGGCGGACGGGUGAGGAAUACAUCGGAAUCUACUUUUUCGUGGGGGAUAACGUAGGGAAACUUACGCUAAUACCGCAUACGACCUACGGGUGAAAGCAGUGGAUCUUCGGACCUUGCGCGAUUGAAUGAGCCGAUGUCGGAUUAGCUAGUUGGCGGGGUAAAGGCCCACCAAGGCGACGAUCCGUAGCUGGUCUGAGAGGAUGAUCGGCCACACUGGAACUGAGACACGGUCCAGACUCCUACGGGAGGCAGCAGUAGGGAAUAUUGGACAAUGGGCGCAAGCCUGAUCCAGCCAUACCGCGUGGGUGAAGAAGGCCUUCGGGUUGUAAAGCCCUUUUGUUGGGAAAGAAAAGCAGCAGGUUAAUACCCCGCUGUUCUGACGGUACCCAAAGAAUAAGCACCGGCUAACUUCGUG
rnacentral:rRNA from 1 species